UAGUAUUUUAUUUUGAAUUAAUUUUAUUUGUUAUAUUUUAUAAGUACUGUUAAGGAUUUAAUUUUAAUAGUUUUUUAGUAGAAUUAUUAUUCGUACCUUUUGUAUCAGGGUGUAUUUAAUUUUUAUUAUUUAUUUAUUUUUCUCGAAUUGAUUUGAUCUAAAUGUUUAUGUUUUUUAAAAUGGUAUAUUUAUUUAUUAUAAUUAUUUAGGUAUGAUAUGUUAUUCGUAAAUCAAUAUAUCUAGUUUUCUUAUAAAUGAAUUUAAUUCAGCUAUUUUUAUUUAAUGAUUUUGUUUUUAAUGUUUUAUUUAUUGAUGGUAAUAUUUUGGGGGAUUAGCUCUUAAAUAUUUUUAUAAUUUUAAUUGUUUAAUGUUAUGUAGGUUUUAUAUUGACCAUCAUUAAUUAGUAUUUUAUAAUUUAUUAUUUUUAUUUAUUUAUUUUUUAUUUGAUUUAAUUAUUUAUUUGAAUUAUUUAAUUAAUUAUUUAUUAUUUGAAAUAAUGAUUUAAUUAGUAUAUUUUUAUUUAUUUGUUUUUGUUAAUUUAUAUAUUUAUAAGGAACUAGGCAAGUAUUUGUAUUCGCCUGUUUAUCAAAAACAUCUUUUCUAGUAAUUUUAUUUGAGAUUUGACCUGCCCAAUGAUUUAUUUAAUGGCCGCGGUAUUUUGACCGUGCAAAGGUAGCAUAAUCAUUAGUUUAUUAAUUGUGGACUUGUAUGAAUGGUUGGACGAGAUAUUUACUGUCUCAUAUUUAUAUAUAAAAUUUAAAAUUUGAGUUAAAAUGCUUAGGUUUUUUUAUAGGACGAGAAGACCCUAUAGAUCUUUAUUUAUUAAUUUAUUAUAUUUUUUGGUUUAUAUUUUUAUAAUAAUUUAAUUUAUUUUGUUGGGGUGACAUUGAUAUAUAAUUAACUAUUAUUUCUAUUUAUUCAAUUAUUUUUGUUUACUUGACCUUUUAUUAAUGUUAUAAGAUUUAGAUACCUUAGGGAUAACAGCGUAAUUCUUUUUGAGAGUUCAUAUCGACAGAAGAGUUUGCGACCUCGAUGUUGGAUUAAGAAUAUAUUUAGGCGUAGGUGCUUAACUAUUAGGUCUGUUCGACUUUUAAAUUCUUACAUGAUCUGAGUUCAAACCGGCGUGAGCCAGGUUGGUUUCUAUCCUUAAUUUUUGUUUUUAUAUUAGUACGAAAGGACCAUAUAAUUUGAAUAAUUUAUUUAUUUGAUUAUUAUUACUAAUUUGGCAGAUAUAUAAGUGCAAUAAA
rnacentral:rRNA from 1 species